rnacentral:lncRNA from 1 species
ACUGUCCGCCCCCGUUAAGUUCACUAGAAAAGUUAUGCUAUUCAGGCAAUAAAAUGGAGCAUGAUCUGAAUCUACUGGUGUCUGUCGUGCUUUCGGCCGUGCUUCCUGCAACAGUGUCACAAGGUUUAGAUUACCGAGGAAAUCAAAUGAUCUAAAGUCACUGCUGAAUUUAUUCUCUGCUGGUCCUUUUUCAGCCAAUCAUUUGGAUCUAACAUCGACAUUCUGGAUGUUCUUGAAUGAGCAAGAUGUCUACCACAAUCUCAACAAAAUUGAUAAACCCUCUGAACUUUGACAGCCUGAAUGGUAAUGAAGGAAUUAUAAAGAGGGUUGGGAAAGCACACGGCAUGGACAAAAGGUAAGAAAUUAGUAUUUCUGAUAUAAGGUCUUUCAACAUUGAAAAUUUGUACUCUGGUAAUAAUCAGCAAAAUAUAUUUUUUCCCCUCUCCUUAUGUUUAGGGGAUAUAGUCUUGCAGUUUAGCCUGGCAAACAGUUAAGCACCACACUGCCAUUCAGUCACUCCUC